rnacentral:rRNA from 1 species
GAUGAACGCUGGCGGCGUGCCUAAUACAUGCAAGUCGAGCGAACAGACGAGGAGCUUGCUCCUCUGACGUUAGCGGCGGACGGGUGAGUAACACGUGGAUAACCUGCCUAUAAGACUGGGAUAACUUCGGGAAACCGGAGCUAAUACCGGAUAAUAUAUUGAACCGCAUGGUUCAAUAGUGAAAGACGGUUUUGCUGUCACUUAUAGAUGUAUCCGCGCCGCAUUAGCUAGUUGGUAAGGUAACGGCUUACCAAGGCAACGAUGCGUAGCCGACCUGAGAGGGUGAUCGGCCACACUGGAAAUGAGACACGGUCCAGACUCCUACGGGAGGCAGCAGUAGGGAAUCUUCCGCAAUGGGCGAAAGCCUGACGGAGCAACGCCGCGUGAGUGAUGAAGGUCUUCGGAUCGUAAAACUCUGUUAUUAGGGAAGAACAAAUGUGUAAGUAACUAUGCACGUCUUGACGGUACCUAAUCAGAAAGCCACGGCUAACUACGUG